ACUCCUACGGGAGGCAGCAGUGGGGAAUAUUGCACAAUGGGCGCAAGCCUGAUGCAGCCAUGCCGCGUGUAUGAAGAAGGCCUCGGUUGUAAAGUACUUCUAGCAGUGAGGAAGGUGGGUAGUGUUAAUAGCAUAUUCAUUUGUACGUUAGCUGCAGAAGAAGCACCGGCUAACUCCGUGCCAGCAGCCGCGGUAAUACGGAGGGUGCGAGCGUUAAUCGGAAUUACUGGGCGUAAAGCGCAUGCAGGUGGUUUGUUAAGUCAGAUGUGAAAGCCCGGGGCUCAACCUCGGAAUUGCAUUUGAAACUGGCAAACUAGAGUACUGUAGAGGGGGUAGAAUUUCAGGUGUAGCGGUGAAAUGCGUAGAGAUCUGAAGGAAUACCGGUGGCGAAGGCGGCCCCCUGGACAGAUACUGACACUCAGAUGCGAAA
rnacentral:rRNA from 1 species